rnacentral:lncRNA from 1 species
AAGCUCAUCACAUAUGAUAAUAUAAUUAAUUCUCAGAUUUUUGGGGAUUAUUACCUAUUAAAUUAUAUAUCAUAUAAAUUAUGCAACUUAUCGAACAUCGACAUAAGUGAGUAUUCGGCUACGCGAACGAAUAUCCUCCUUAUCGGCUGAAGUAAGGAACUACUCAAAUUAUUGUCGCCACAAUAGUCGAACGCUACGUUCAUUUCACUAUUUAACUAAUUUCACUAAGCUUCGAAAAUCUUAAUAAUCUAAGAUUCGCGUUAGUGACCCUAGUGAACGACGAAUUUUAUGAGUUGAAGAACUAUCAUCAUGGAUUUUGUGGAUUGUGUAUCUCGUGUGUGUUUGUGGGGGGAAUGUAUCAAAAGGGGUGAAAGAGAUAGUUUUAUGAUGGUGUAUUUUUCAUUUGUAGGGAUCAAAUCCUGGAAUCGACACCUAGCUCUAUAACCGUUAAUCCAGGAGGAAUCAUAUACCGUAGGUCUAUGUACACGGCAUAGAUUUAUAAUAAAUAUAUUUCUUAUGGAAAGAUUUAUGUGAAUGGUUAUUUUCCGUCUGUGGUUGCUAGCUACAACUUCGUCUGACGAGGCAACAUGCGUCAAGUGUUUCUUUCUUCGUUACUAUACGACUGCUUUUAAACGUUAGUAAUGAUCUCGAUUCCUCCAUUUUUAUUUAUAUUGUGCCUAUGUGGCUUGUUUAUUGUGCCUAUGUGGCUUGUGGAGGAGCGACGAAUAAUGUCGGUUAUGGGAUAUAUUGAAGAUUUUUAUUCGAAGAUGUAUAGAUCUAGAUUGAGUCAAUUCUCCUAAUUUGGUCCGAGUGUGUAAGAGUGUUUAGACUGUUAACUACCUCUCCCUACGACAUAAUUCUCCAUAAGCAGAGACGUUUUAAAGAAUAGAAUUGUAAAAAGAAUGGUUAAUAUUUGUCGUUGAAAUUAUACGAGUGGUAAAAAUAUGUGUUUAUAAUUUACAGGUUAUUGAAAAGUAUUUUGGGAUGAGUUUGCCCCACUGGUUAAGUGUCGAUUUCCAAAUUAAGUAAGAUAAUGCUUAAUUAAUAAUACGACACGGAUUUACAAAGUUUAUAAAAUUUGAAACUUAUGAGUUUUACAUAUAAACUAUACGAACGUUUGUACACAGUUUUAAGAGUAAAGUUUACUAUUUUAUGUUUACAUAAAGUGUGAUAUGACUUUAUUUAUAUAAAUUGGUUUUCAAAAUCUUUAUAUAAAGAGCAUUUCGGUCAUGAGAACCGUAAGAAUUUGUUAUAAGUUUGGUUUACUUAUAUAUUUUACAAAUGGUGUAUUUUUGGGUUUGAGCAAAUGACAUUUCUAAAUGAGUUUAAAUAUACUUUUAUGACUCAAUUAUUUUAUACUUUCGAUAGAAAAAUAUGUGUUUAUAAAAGCUGUUCAACCAGAUAAAUUUUAUAAAACAUUUUUGGGUGUAAAAAUACUCUGUUUCAAAACCUGUAGAACUCACCAACAAUUUUGUUGACGUAUCUUAAUGCAAGUAUUCUCAGGUUAUUUAUAAGGUCGGAAGAGUUUUUACAGAAGAUUCUCCGAUAUUCUUAUCAUACAAAUGUGAACGUCAGAUUGUUCGGCAUGUGUAGCGUUUCAACAUUCCAUUUCGGUAUUAUAUUUGUACUGUUCAAUAUAUGUUCAAUAACUGUGAUUACUGGUUUACGUUGCACACCUCGGCGUUUUUGCCAUCGGUCGAGGGUGUGACAUUUGUAGUCUUAGCUUAGAUAUAAACAUAACUCAUAUAGAUUACGAAAUGUACAUAGCUCAUAUAGGAAAAACUCGUGUACGUUCGAUCCAAACAAUGUGCGUAGGCAUCUUAGUCCAAAACUUUCAGUUAUAAGUUUAUCAAACUAUUAUAAUCGUUUAACGUUUAGGAAAAACGAUGGCUUAAGUAUUAGAUUUUCUAAAUUCUACAAGACUUGACAUUUCUGUAAAUUAACUUAAGUUUUGUGAAAUAAUUCGGACAUCAUGACGAUUGCGUUCCGAAUAAUUUCUAGGUUUUAAUAAAUGCGAAACCCACAAUCCCAAUAAAUAUACAAGUAUAUAAAGCAUUAAAAUAUAUCAAUCGAUAUAACAAUGUUCUUUCAUAACCUUUUGAUAUCUAUAAAUUUUAUCACGAUGGGAGAGCUUGUAAUAUGUGUAUAUGAUACUGCAUUUUUUUGUUAUUUCAACAAAAUAUAGAUAACUAUGGAUUUGUACUAAAACAUAUGCUUAAACCAAUCCACGUCGUUUUUAGGUACAUCAAUAUAUUUGUACAUUUUAAAAAGAUAUAUAAUUGAUCUUUUUCAUUCCAUAAUUUAACUCAAUUCAAUGGUGUUUAUUAAAAUAAAAUUAAAAGAAAAAUAUAAUUGGAUUUUUUUGUUUAUAUAUAUAUAUAUAUAUAUANUCACUUUACACUCAUAAUGUCUCCACCUUUGGGGUUUUUAGCCCUAAAAAGGGCACAUACAACAACAACCAAAAGAAGAGGAAAGUUUUGAACUUUAUACCUCCAAGUGUAGCCCUUUUCUCUGUAGAUCUCAGAUCCAAAAUGGCACCUUAGGGUUUAGCUUCCAAGAACUCCCUUCCUUUUUCUUCACCAAGGCACUAAAGCACCAAGAAGCUAAAAUCAAUACUCUCACACACUAAGGACGAUAGGGCUCUCUUUUAGGGUUUCACUCACUGAUAUGGAGGCUAAGGAAUGAGCCAUAACACCCUUUAAAUAGUGCACAAGGUGGAUUAGGGUUUUUGCACCUGGGCCGGGUACGCCCGGCAUAACUCUAGGUACGCUCAGCGUACCUUGGCGACUCCGCGUCCAAAUUAAGCACAUGAGUACGCACAGCAUACCCCUAUGGUACGCCCAGCGUACUCACUUGCUGCAAUCCCACCACUCAAGGACUAAACAUGGCCAAUCAAUAAAGAACAAGGAUGAAAGGAAUAUACCUGAAUCUCGGGUGUCAUAUUCAUAUAAUCUUCAUUUAGUCUUUUGAUAACUAGAUCAUAACAAAUGUCAAAAUCAAAGAAAAAAAAUUAAUAAAUUUUAUAUGUCAAUUAUUAAAUAUAAUGAAUAAUAUUAUAAUAAAAAAUUAUUUUCCUACAAAAAAAAUAUACGUNCUCUAUCUAUAUCUAUAUCUAUAUCUAUAUCUAUAUCUAUCUAUCUAUCUAUCUAUCUAUCUAUAUAUCUAUAUAUAUCAUAUAAAGCUAGUAUUUUUCCUUGAAUCUCAUGCAUUUGAAACUCCCAAGACCAUUCAACUUGUAUAAUCUAAUUUAGGAUUAAUUGAAAUGUUGUGAUUUGUAACUUCCAAAACUCUUCAAAUCAUGUUAUUUAACUGACGAGUUAAAUGAAAUAUGUAGCAUAUAUAAGAAGAUUAUAGCUUGCAUAUUGCAUGUAUGUCAACUUCAAAUGAUCGAUUAUAUUAGUAGAGUUUGAAGAUUUAUGUGAGUGGUUCUAUGAAUGUAAGAGAGCAAUUACAAAUUUUCCAAAUGUAAAUGAAAAUUUGGGGCAUGUAAAGUUUUAUAUGUUAACCAAGCUUCAAAUUUGGGUAUGUGUGUAAAAUUAUACUUGAGAAAAAAAAAAUUAUUUUAUGUGUUACGGAUCUUUUUAUAAUCACAAGAUGAUGAAUUGAGACUGAUAGCUAAUUCUCAUGAGCUUUUGGUAAAUCAACCUUAAAGUUAUUUAUUAGCUAGAGCAAUUAACUUUGUCAACAUGUAUGUAUAUUUAUGUCGUCUUUCUCUUUUAUGUUAAGACAAUCAAUUUUUCUUUCCAAGAGAACAUUAUUUAACAUGUAUUUUAAGUUAUCAGUUACAUACUAUGUUAGUUUUUAUAGUUUAUUUUGUUGUAAAUAAUGUUGAUGGAACUUUUGAUAAUUGAUGGUGUUAAAUAUGAUAGGUUUUAUUGUUAAAACCCAAGGAUUAUUGAUGUGUUAUAAAAAUACCUUCAUGAUGUUCUCGCAAAAUUUAUAAACUUUGUCAACAUGUAUGUAUCUUUAUGUCGUCUUUCUCUUUUAUGUUAAGACAAUCCAUUUUUCUCUCCAAGAGAACAUUAUUUAACAUGUAUUUUAUGUUAUUAGUUACAUACUAUGUUAGUUUUUAUAGUUUAUUUUGUUGUAAAUAACGUUGAUGGAAAUUUUGAUAAUUGAUUUUGUUAAAUAUGAUAGGCUUUAUUGUUGAAACCCAAAGAUUAAUUAUGUGUUAUAAAAUACCUUCAUGAUGUUCUCGCAAAAUUUAUAUGUAUGUAUCCAUUUUUUAAAUGUUUUAUAGUAAUAAAAAUGAGUACUCUAUUAUAUCUUAUUACACAAGUCAAUUUUCUUUUUCUUAUUCGUUGCUCACCAUAAAGUUAAAGUAAAAAUAAAGAAAAUAUUAAUACCUUUAUAAGAAAACCAGGCGAAUGCCCGUGCGUUGCGCAAAAACACCUAUAUAGUUAAAAUCUUUACAAAUAUAUGUUUUUUAAAACAUAAUAUUAAUGUUGUUAAAUUUGAUAUAAUAACCCGUAUACUAAAUUGAUAUAACAUAUUGAUUAUGUUAAAUUAUAUAAUAAUAUAUACAUCUAUUAUAACCGUUUGAAUGACUUCUACCCGCGAGUUACUCAUGAAUAAAAUUAAAUAUAACAUAUGGUUUAAUGUUAUUUAUAGUUGUCAUUGUUAAUUAAUUUUUUGGAAAUUUAUUUCUUUACCGUUUUAAUUUAUGUCAUUGUAAUUAUUUACAACAUCAAACAUUGUUUUUUUUAUUUUAAAAGUAAAAUUAUAAUCAUUUAUAUAGAGUUAUAUUUAACUAAUGUUAUUGUCAGUUACUUUAAGCUACUUAUUUGAAAACUUUUAACGAUUAUACAAAUAUCUUUAGGAAAUAUUUUAGUUAAAUUGAGAUUAUAAUUCAUUUUUUGCAUUUAACACUACAAUUUAUCAAUUUUAACUAUUCACAAAAUAUUCAUUGAGUUUUCUAGGUGGAACUGAAAUUUAUAUUUAAGUUGACACUUUAAUGUUAUAUUAUAAAUUAACAAUUUAAGUAUAUUGUCCAAACUAUUCAAAAGUUGUAGCUUCAAAUUGAUAAUGGUUUACAUACAACAACAUCUUAAUCUAAUAAAUUAAGUAUAAUCUGUUAAAAAUUAAAGACAUAACUUUAUAAGUAGAAGUAAAGAUGUUAUUUUAAUAUUAAAACUUAGUUUAUUUAUGAUUACACUUCAGGUUUGAUAUUUAUUUAACCUUAUUAACCAACUUAAAAUCAUUAUUAGAAAGACACUAUAAUUUAUUAGUUUUAGUUAUUUACAAAAUAUUUGAGUUAUUUAAGUUAAACUUAAAUUUAUAUUUAAGUUGAUCCUGUAAUGUUAUAUUUAAAUUUAUAAUUUAAGUAUUUUAUACAAAUUGUUCAAAAGUUGUAGCUUUAUAAUGAUAAUGGUUUAUACCUAAAAUUAUAUUAAAACUAAUAAAUUAAGUAUAAUAUGUUAAAAGUUAAAAAACAUAACUUUAUAAGUAGAAGUAAAGAUAUUCUUUUAAUAUUGAAAUUUAGUUUGUAUUAUUACACUAUAUGUUUAAUAUUUAUUUAAUCUUACUAACCAACUUAUAACAAUUAUUAGGAAGAAAUUGAAAAGUCAUGGGAAUUUCAAAUGAAUCUGGUGAAAGGAAAAUGCAUGGGAGUUUCAAAUGAAUGUGGUGAAAAAAAAGGCUANNNNNNNNNNNNNNNNNNNNNNNNNNNNNNNNNNNNNNNNNNNNNNNNNNNNNNNNNNNNNNNNNNNNNNNNNNGAAUUUAAAAUCAUUAUUUUACUUGGACCCUUCAUUCCAUUCCAAUAUUUUAUAGUUUUAAGGACAAAAGUAAAAGUAUAAUACUAAAGUAUGAUAUUUUUUUUUUAAAUAUAAUAAUGAAAUUUUCCAAACAAAUAGUUUUUAAUUAAGUAAAAAUAAUAAUAGUUUAAAAUAAAGUAAAACUACAAAAUAGAUUAUAUUAUACUAAAGAAUGAUUUUUAUUUGAAAUAAUAAUAAUAAUAAUAAUAAUAAUAAUAGUAAAUGAUAUAAAAAAAAGACUUAAAUAAACUAUUUCGAAAUCAUUUAAAAAUAUCUAUAAUUAUUAUUAAAUUAAAAACUUUAUUUAAUUCAAUUCAAACAUAACUUAUUCUAUCUAUAUUAUCAUAUAGUUAAAAUAGUUAUAAAAUUAGUUACAACUUAGUGUAAGAAUCAUUAUUUUAAUGAUAAAUUUCAAUAAUAUUGUUAUUACAACAUAUAAUUGUUAAUAUUUAUAUUACAUUAUUGCAUACAACUCAAGUGUUUGAAACUCCUAUUACAACUCAAGAGUUUUCUAUUUUAAAUGUAGUUUUGUUUCGAAAUUUAAUGAAAUUAGUUGUGACUUUUAUUUUCCAUUACAUUCAAGAGUUUUUAAAUGUAGGUAACGAAGCUCGACUCAUCAUGGAAUGAACCAUGUCCAACAAGGUUCGAUUGCAACUCUCAGCCACACCAUUAAGUUGCGGUGUCCUAGGUGGCAUCAAUUGUGAAACAAUUUUACAUUCUUUAAGAUAGUCAUAGAAGUCAAUACAAAGAUACCCACCACCUCGAUCGGAUCAGAGCAUCUUUAUCUUCCUACCUAAUUGAUUCUCCACUUCUUGCUUAAACUCUUUGAACUUUUCCAAGGUUUCUAACUUGUGCUUGAUUAAGUAGAUAUAUCCAUAUCUGCUAUAAUCAUCGGUAAAGGUUACAUAGAAGCAGUUAUCAUCCCUUGUGGUAGAUCUAAAGGGUCCACACACAUCAGUUUGUAUGAGAUCCAACAAACCCUCACCUCUUUUACAAGUACCAGUGAAAGGUGACUUGGCCUUCUUUCCAAGCAAACAAGAUUCGCACGUGUCAUCCGACUUUAAGUCAAAUGACUGCAACACUGCAUUGUUUUGGAUUUGGGCUAUGCGCUUCAUGUUGACAUGUCCAAUACAACAAAGCCACAAUAAUGCCUUGUCUAAACCAUUGGACGAAUCAAUAUGCCAUACAUUAUUUCCUAAUUUGUUUACAAUCAUCACAGUUUCAUAUAUACCAUUACAAGGCAAUGCUUCAAAAUAAAAUUUACCAUUAUAAAAAUCAUUAAUAGAAUCAAUUUCAUUGUUAAAUGAAAAUCUAAAACCCUGUUUAUACAAACCAUGAAAAGAAAUAAUGUUUCUCGCCAUCUCUGACGAAUAGGAAUAAUCGUUCAAAUCUAAUUCUAACCUAUUACUAAGCAAUAAAGAAUAAAUCCAAUCUUGGUGACAGGCGACGCUUUCCUAUUCCCCAUGAUCAAGUCCAUCUUCCUGUGCUCCAUAUCCCUACUUGUUCUUAGACCCUGCAAUUCAGAACAAAUGUGAAAACCACAUCCUGUAUCAAGGACCUAAGAACUAGUAUGUGAUGAGUUUAUAGAUUGAAUAGUGUAUAUACCUACGAAGGUGGGCUUUAUCUUCCCAUCCUAUAUGUCCUGCAAGUAUUUAGGGCAGCUUCGUUUCCAAUGCCCCUUUUCAUGACAGUAGAGCAACUCUGCUUCCUUUGGAUUUGAUGAAGGAGUAGCAAAACCAUCUUUACACCUACUUUAAGAGGAUCCAUCAUGAGACUUUCCUUUUUGAUUCUUUGAAGGAGCUUUCCUUUUCUUCUCUUUCCUAUUUCCAAUUUCCAGGACUGGGGUAGCAGCAGUAGGAGUGGGUACAACAGACUUGCCAUUUAAACUACUUUCAACAGUUCUUAGAAGGCCUUAAAGCUUGCUUAGAGUGACUUCCUCCAUGUUCAUAUGAUACGUCAUCCUGAACUGAUCAUAACAUGGAGGUAAAGAGUGUAGGAUAAUGUCGAUUGCGAACUCUUCGUCAAAAUUGACGUUCAACUUUAGCAAGCGGUCCACAUAUCUUUGCAUCUUUCGCAAGUGAGUCGUGAUGGACUCUCCAUCCUUAAUUUUUUUUGUUAUCAUGAAGGCAAUGAUUUCAUACCUUUCUUUUCGAGCACUUUGAUGGUACGAUUCCAUCAAGUCUUGCUGCAUCUUGGAAGGCCAUAAGUCCUCGUAGGACUUUUGAAGCUCAGAAGUGAUAGUGGCUAGCAUGAUGCACAACACCUUUUUUGUGUCCUUCUCAUGAGACCUAUACUCAGCCAGUUGCUCAGGAGUAGCAGUUUCUUCAUCAAUAUCCUUUAGCUCAUUGUCGAGGAUGUAUUCAUUUUCCUCGUAUCGAAUGGCCAUGCAAAUGUUUUGAAUCUAGUCCUUGAAAUUCGACCCAUCGAGAAUGACCCUCCCACAUAGGUUCAUGAGGGAGCAAGAGCCGGAAGAGUUUGAGUUUGAAGCAUUGUUCGAGGUAGACAUCUGAAAAAGAAAGACAAGUUUCAUUAGAUAGAAAUUCCAUAAUAUAACACCCAAGUGAAAUAUUAAGGCUAGGAGCCAAACACAAUAAUUCACAACUUAGAAAAGGGAUGCCGUAAUCUAAUUACAAAUUAUUUGAAGAGAGGUAAAUGAUGAUUUACAAAUUUUCACCACCCAAAACCGAAAUUUACAAGAAUUAAGUUUUAUGAAAUUUCUAGAUCUUUGAGAUUCAUUGAACCUUUCAAUGACAUGUUUAAUCUUGAUUAUGCCCUUCAAGUUUGUGACUGGGAUACCGAGGCUAACAAACAAGGAGUGAAUAACCAUGCAAAUAUGUGAGGUACUCUUGAUGUCAUUCAUCAUCUAAUCAACGUACCGGUUAGCCAUAGACGCUCCAUUGUUCUAUGAUAAUUCUCGAGCUACCCUUAGCCACCGUUGUUAGUCCAAAUUAGUGUGCUGGUUAACCACACAUGCUCCACUAACGACUUGCCAAGGUGCAAAGUGCAAUUUCAUGGAAUAGCACCAUUUUCACAUUUUUACUAAAGUAACUAUGGUUGGGAAUUUAGAAAAGUAUUUACUUACUUUUUAUAAUUAUUAUUAUACUUUUGAAUGAGCAUUAAGGUCCUAUCCUACCCGUUCGGCUAACGACCCUCCACUAGUCAAGGAAGUGGUGGGGAAGAGUGGAUACCUAUUCAAUCGCCAUUUUAUAGGCAAUUUCCUUAUACCCCCUGAUAGACCAGCUUUGUGAAUGAGGCCUACUAACAGUAAGACUGACUGUCUUAUACAUAUAUAUAUAUAUAUAUAUAUAUAUAUAUAUANAUAUAUAUAUAUAUAUAUAUAAGUAUUAAGUUGUUAAUGUAUUAUAAUAGUAUAAGGGUUGAAUUUUAAACUUUUAAAGAUCUAGGGUUUAGAAUUUAAAUAUUUCAAAAUCAAAACCUUUUAAUCAAAAUUUUAAAUUCUAAAACUUGAGGGAAAGUUUUGAAACUUUUCAAAACCUCUUAGAUCAAAUUUGAAAACAAUUAAAUUAAUCAUAUAAUUUAUCUAUAUCACAAAAUUUGACCUAUUCUAAUUUCAUAUAGAAAGAUAAUUCGAAUCAAGUUCUACAAAUAAUUAAUUUAUCAUAUAAUCAAGUAAUUAUCUUAAAAUUUGACAAUUAUCCUCCAAUUGGAUGCGGAUAAUCAUUACCUUAUCAUAAACGAAUUUUAUCAGUCAAAACAGUUUAUGGUAAUGAUCCUAAUCCAAUUCUGGUAAAACAAACCCGAAAAUCUGCCAACGGAUGACCCAACUCGUCGAGUUAGUGAAUGGACUCGUCGAGUGGGCUCUACUCGUUGAGUCCUAUUAUGGACUCGUCGAGUUCAUCAUGCAGAGAGCAGAUUUUGAUUUGCUUCAGCUUUGAACAAUUAACCAAUGCAUCAAUAUAACAGUAAACACCCUAGGCUUUGAUACCACUGAUGGGUUUUGAGCACUAUAACAAUCCUAUGGUUUACAUACAACCCUAAUGCUUUGGAUCUAAGUUUUCUAAAGUUAUACAUGCAAUUUUCCUUUUAUCCAAAGCAUGAACUAGGACUAGCAUAAAAUUUUGAGAUUUAAAACAUAAAACAAGUUAGAUGAAUAUCUCUUGUUGUAGCUUGUAGAACUUGGCCUUUCAAGAGCUUAGUACCUCAAAUGUGAUACCUGAAAUAAGUCACAAACACCAAGAACAAUGGAGGAUUAGGAGAGAGACAUAGAGAGAGAGAGAGAAAGAGAGAGAGAGAGAGAGAGAGAGAAAGGCCAGGAGGCACCAAAAAUCGGCUAGGUUUUCUUAUUGGAAGUCUUGGCUGAUAUUGGGAGUGUUAGGGUUACAUUUAUAGUGUGGAAUUCCUAGGGUUUUAACUUCUAAACCCUAAUUCAUUUACUUAGGCCUUUAAGCAAUCCAAUAACUCAUUUGAUAGGCCCUUUGGACUAAAUCUUCAUGGACUCUCACAUAGAUUUAGUCCAUCCUAAUCAACAUGGAUCAUUAGCCUAAACUAUAUGUAUUAUUGAUUUACCUAAUCAGUCCCGGUUAAAUUAAUCAGUCUCUUUUGAUCACUAAAUUAAUUCCAAAUUAAAAGCUGAUCAAGACCAGUUAAAAAUUAUGAUUUCUCAAUUAAUAUAUUAUUCUUAUAAUAUAUUAAUAAAUCACAAAUAACCUCUUUCUCAAAAAUCCAUCCUAUCAAAUUCCUCUUGUGAAGGAAACCCAAAAGGACCAUGUUACUAUCGCGUCAAGUGCAUACCAAUUAUAGUUAUGGGCUUAGACACCUAAUCCAAAAAAAAUCCAUGGAGUGAUUGAGGUUUCUUUUUGAGUAUAUGUUAAAACUUGUGGCUCAUAAAACUCCUCUCUGUACCACUAUCGAAAAGUAUGCUUGCAUAUAAGUUAUUGAGGAGAAACGUACCUGUAACCAUGGUGGGAUUCUUCAUUUCCUCCUCAUGACCUAUUGCCAAAACCCUUCCUACACCUCCGACAUCUUUGUUCCUUGCCUUUGGGCACUCCCUCUUGAAAUGCCCCGUCUCACCACAUCCGCAGCAUGCUUGGCUCACCCCGACAUUUGUGGCCUGGGUGGUCUGUUGAGCUGGCACCCUAUAGAAACGGGUGGUAUGCCCAAUUUUGUUACAGUUGUUGCAAUGCAUCUCCCGAUAAGCUCCAUUGUGGUGCAAGUUUCACUUGUUGCAUUUGGGUAGGCUCCUAGCAUAUUGUUUCAUUGGUGUUGGGCAGCAGGGACAGUGACGACGUGGACUGCCACAUUUUGUUAUUUCUUUGUGGGCUCUUGUGUCGGUUGGCCCUUCUUCUUGUUCCAUAAUUUCCUUUUGCUCUCUCCCCCUUUUGUUUGUUCGAGGGUGGGCGUCGUAGUGCCCUGGCAGACUCCAUGAUCCACAAGCCUAUGAGCCAAGCGUUUGGCAUUGUCAAAGGUCGAUGGGUUUACAGAUACCACAUUUCGUUGAAUCUGGGGGGAUAGUCCCAAGAUAUAUUGUUCCAACUUUUUGCGUUCCGGGUGACCAUCCCGUGACAUAGCACCGCCAAGUUGUUGAACCUGGUAGUUAGGUUGUUACAUCGGAGCCCGUCAUCAUGAGGUUCCAGAGUUCUUGCUCCAACUUCUAAACUUCGCCUCUCGGGCAGUAUUCUUACAGCAUCAUGAUUUUUAUAUCCUCCCAACUCAUAGAGUUGGCCCACAAGCAGAAUUAGUGAUUUAACGUGGCCAUUCCACCAGGAGAGGGCCCCGUCAAUGAAUGUGCAAGCUGCAAACUUGACCUUGCUUUUUUCCGGGCACGAACAAAUUUCGAACAGCGAUUCUGUUUUCUCGAACCAUCUAGUCAGAUUAUUGACACCUACACUGCCAUGAAAACACUUGGGAUUGCAAUAAGAUAAGCCCUUGUAGGAGCAUCCUCUUCGAUGUGCAUGGUUUUCUCCAUGAUUAGAACAAUUGGUACCAUUUUCAUUCCCGUUUAUACCAUUAGUAUUGAUUUGUGCUUGAAUGCUGCCACAACGACUUGGAAGGCAGCGGAGUCCUCAUGUGGAGUUAGUGGCGGCUUAGCUCUUGGUGUGUUGCUGACACGUCUGUUGCUCCUGCGUGGUGGCAUUCUUCUUCCAUAAAGUUUAAAGAAUGGGAUUAUGUUAAGUCCUCGAUAAUGGUUACGAAUCGGGUAUUAUUAAAAUAGAACGUAUGUGUGAGAAUAGAGGUAUAAGAGACACAUAAAGAGUCUAGGUGUCUGGUUAUAUAGUAUCAUAAAAUACUCCUAUAGUAUUUCAAAUUUAUGUUUAGUUCUAGAGUUUCUUUGUAUGGGGUGUUGGUAUGUUUUAGACUUGUUGGUCACCACGACUAUUCCCAAGCAUAUGUUAGUCACAUCUCGGAUACAUAUAGUUGACCAGGCUAUAUUUAUCUAAUAUCUAAUUACAUACCACCUAGGCUUACUCGUACUGUUCAACUUAUCUUAUUACUUUUGUAUUGUUCUUGUUAUGACACCAUUCUAGUAUGUAUGUAUGUACUUAUACUUUAUAUAUAAAAACAUAUAUCAUUAUAUUUUACAAGUAUACUUGUAUGAAAUGUUUUAGUCAAAGGAUUUUAGCCCCAUUGUAUUUAUAGUUGUAUAUCUUACAUGGUUUUAUUUAGUUCACUAUAAACAAUUCUCUAAUACCAAUCUAUUACACCUCCAAACCAGGAUGGUGAAAACGUCUGGGGUGGAUGACUUCAUGAAUUGUAUCACAACAACAUGUAUAAUAGUGAUCAAAGCAAAAUACAACCAUAAUAAAUAUAAUCGAAAAAGUUACAUUGUUGUAAGAGUUGUAUGUUUCAAACGUAAUUACAAUAUGAUGAUUUAAAAUGACUUGUUUGAUGCCUUAGUGUCCCAUCCACAAAAGCUUGUAGUCACAUGCUUAAAGAUUUCCUGAGAAUGCAAGUAGUUUUGAAAAGUGUCAUCAAUUAAGUUGGUAAGUUCAUAAGAGUUUGUAUGAAGGAUUGUAAGUCUUUCCUUGUAAAAUGAUAGGGUUCGAUUCCAUAAAAUCCAAUAUUUUCCUUAAAAAUGGGUGUAGUCUUAGGAACCCUAAGAGCGAAAUGUACAAGUAUUUUAAUACUUAAAAUAGUAAUAUGUAGUUGUAAUCUUAUAUAAACCAUUGAAUGUAUGUUUCCCCGUAAACUAAAUGUAUCGUUGGUUUCCCCAUGUGAGUUAUUAUAACCAUUCAAAAACAUAGAUGGCAUGUACGACAUUCUUUAGGUAUUGGAAUGUUACACAUUUGUCACCCGACACCUGCCGGUCUAGUUGUCGCAACCAACUUAGGUGCGGGAUAUACACAAGUAUCACGCUCUCUUACGGGAGAUUAUGGUUAUAGUACAUGACUUUUGUAGGUACUCUGGUUGGUACGAUGAAGACUUUGACUCACAAAAAUUGAUCCAACGCGUUUAUGUUUUGUUGUAGUGAAAACAUUUGUAUGUAUAAUUAUCACUUUUCCAUGAUAAUAAAAUAGUAUAAAAUAAUUAUAUAAACCUUUAUAUAAUUAUCCGUCUUGUUAAAAAAUGUUACAAUAGUGUUAAUGUCCCAUAAACUAUACUUAUUAUAUAUAUAUAUAUAUAUGCGCUAACAUGCUUAUAUAUAUUCAUAAAUUACAAGUAUUUUACAUCUAGUACCAAUAAGUGAGUCAUUAGUAUGAAAAUGUCCAUUUUUCUGGUUUUUGACUUUUACGUCACAAAUGGUAAAUAGUGAAUAUAACUAUGUAAAACUUCUUUGUACCUUUUUGUGAUAUUUAAGUCAAGUUAAAUUUAUAUGCUUUAAACAGUAUAUUUUUGGUCAAAACCCACAAAAAUGGUACCAUAACCUAGUUGUGACAAUUUUUGUUAGAAAACUCACGUUUGCAUAAAAUGAUAAAUUGUAAGUUUUCUUUUUGUAAAACUAAAUCUUUGGUAUUUUUGAUUAGUUUCAAGCAAUAUGUUGCAAUUAACAUAUUUUGGUUUAUACCCCAGAAAUAUGGUGUAAUAACUUGGUUAUAACCAUUUUUGCUAGAAAAUCAUAUUAGGUUCAUAAAAACCAUAGUUUUUAUAGUUAUGUUUUUGUCACCUUUUUCUCAAGAACAUAUAAUUUGUUUAUACUUAUAUUUCAUAGUUUUGCAUUUGUAAACAAGAACACCACAUAUAAAUGUUCAAAUAACUAAGUAAUAACAUCUUUUCAUGCAUAUAAUACUUUUACACAAGUUAAAGAAGAAGCAUGUAUAAUAACUUGUGUUACUCCCCCNCCCCCCCCCCCCCCCCAAACAAAAAAAAAUUGGAAACCUUAAAAACGAAAGGGUAUGAACUUACCUUAUGUGUGUUUUCUUGGUGGAUAAGAGGUUGUAGAUGGAAAGAUUCAAGUUAAGAAUACUUGAAGAUUUGAAGAUCCUAUGAAUAGUAACACAUGAUAAUGUGUAUAAAUGGAUUCAAACUAGUUUAUAAGUGUGUAGUCACUAAAUACUUACCGAAAACUCAUGAACCACUUGGAAGAAUCUAGCUAUGGAAGAUGGGAGCUCUUUCUUGUAGAAGAAGAAGAAAAUGAUGAAGAUGAAUGUGAGAAAAAGGCCUUUCGGCCGUAAGUUAAAGAGAGAGGGGGAAGGAGGGUGUGUGUGUGUNNNNNNNNNNNNNNNNNNNNNNNNNNNNNNNNNNNNNNNNNNNNNNNNNNNNNNNNNNNNNNNNNNNNNUACUCUAGGGUUAAGUGGUUGCCCAUGUUAGAUGAAGGUACAACUUAAUAACUAGUGACUUUUUAUAAAAAAAAUAAAAAUCAAACCUUUAUAAACUCUUGGUAUUUUUAUAAAAUUGAUGAUGUUUUUAUAAAAGAAAUAUGGUAUAAAGGAUGCAUAAAAUAUUUAAUUUGAAUUAUAAAAAUUCAAAUUAUUAUAACAGUUGCCCAUGUUAGAUGAAGGUACAACUUAAUAACUAGUGACUUUUUAUAAAAAAAAUAAAAAUCAAACCUUUAUAAACUCUUGGUAUUUUUAUAAAAUUGAUGAUGUUUUUAUAAAAGAAAUAUGGUAUAAAGGAUGCAUAAAAUAUUUAAUUUGAAUUAUAAAAAUUCAAAUUAUUAUAACAAACAUUAUUAUCAAAAUAAUAAUAUGUUACAUGAAAGUUAGGUCGAAUUUCCAUGUUUAUUUCGUUAAAAAUUUGGUGUUUAGCCGGGUAUAGACUUUGUCGCAUUUGGUGACCAAUUCACCAAAAAUUAGUGUUUGUAGCAUUUGCUAUGAAUUUCCACACAGUGUUAGGUUUAUGAACUCCACUACACUGUGUUAGGAGUAUUAUUUAUUCCCAAAUAAUAUAUAGCUGAAUUAUCGAGUUGUUACGUUACUAACCCUAAUUAGGGUUUAUAUUUGAUAAUUGGCAAUCCAAAGAGGUAAUUUGUAUUAUAAUUUGUCAAUAAUACAUUAGAAACAUCAGGGGAUAUCAUAUUUCUCCUAAAUUUCUAAUACAAAUUAUGUUGACCUGUUUGACAUUUGAUGACUUUGUUUGACCAGAUUUGGUUGUUGCCACAGAGUGGUCUUCUCUUCGUCAAUCUCAGUUAGUUCUUUCUCAAGGACAUAAUCCUUGUACUCGAAACGAAGGGCCAUUUUGAUGUUGCACAUCCAUUCAUUGUAAAUGGUGCCAUCCACUGUCACAUUUGAGUAGACAGACAACAACGAGAAGUUUUGGUUGGAAGAGGAGGUAUCAGAAGCAUCAUUUGGAGUAGACAUCUGAAAAUGGAAGGUAGUUUUAGUUAGAUAAGCAUAAUACUUAAUAUAGAAAACCAAAAUAAAGUAUUAAGGUUAACAUCCAACUAUAAAAUUCACAAAUUAGAAAAGGGAUUUCGUAAUCUAAUUUUAAAUUUUAUAAAUGUAGGUAAAUGACGAUUUACCAAUUCCAGCAACAGAAAAUAGAAUUUAAAAGAAAUUAAGUUAAAUGAAACUCCUAGGUCUUUUGAGAUACAUUGAAACUAUUCAGUGACAUGUUUAAUCUCAGAUUAUGCUUUUCCAUUUGUGAUUGAGAUACCGGGGAUCACAAACAAGAUGUGAAUAACCAUGCAAAUGUGUUUGGUAACCUCAUUGUCAUUUAUCAUCCCAAUUGAUGUGCUGGUAAACCACACACGCUCCAUCAACAACGAUAAUUCAUGAGAUACCCAUUACCACUCUUUAUUAGUCCCCAGUAGUCUAUUGGUCAACCACACAUGCUCCACUAACGAAUUAUAAAGUGUAAUGUGCAAUUUCAUGAGUUAGCAUACAAAUUCACAUUUUUCCUAAAAUAACUAGAUUUGUGAUUUAAUGAAAACCGUCUAGUAACUUUUAAUAGCAUUAUACUUUUAAUGAGGAUUAGUUUUCCGAUCAAACUCGUUCGGCUAACGACCCUCUACUACACAAGAGAGUUGUGGGUAAGAGUGGACACCUAUUCAACGGUCAUUUUAUAGGCCGCUUCCUUAUACCCUCUUUAUAGCAUGGUUUCGUGAAUGAGACCUACUAUUGAUUUGACUGACUUAAUCUUAUACAUAUAGUAAUAAUUAAAAUUUUAAUUUUACGUAUAGUAUAAGGUGUAUUUUAAACUUUUUAAAAUACUAGGUUUUAUAUUUUAAAUUUCAAAAAUAAUAUUCAAUUAGUUAAAUUUAAAAUAAUAUAUAGUUUAUAAAAUGAAUCAAUUAAGGAUUAUUAAAUUAAUCAAUUAAUUUAACCCUAAUUCUUACCCCAUAAAUUAAUCAAUUGGAACUUGUCAUUUCAAUGCAAAUGAAAAAACUAUAUUUCUAGACAUUACCGAAGAGUAAUAGAAAUCUAUUAAAAUUAUCCUAACUAGUUAGCAAGGUUGUACAAAUCAUUUGACAAUAGCUCGACGGUCGACAGAUGUUAAGGGAAUAAUCGGUCUUGGCGAAGAUUAAUCAGGGACCAUAGAUUAUUACUAAAAUAUGAAAAUUAAUCAAAGCUUAAUAUAUUUAAGAAAAAUAAGUAGUUCAAAAUUGGAAAAUAAGAGAAUUUUUAAUUUGAAAAUUUGAAAAUAUCAACAUUUUGGUAUAAUAUUUGAAAUUUUGAAAUUUUAAAAAUUUUGGAGUAAAAAAAUUUAAUUUUUUGAAAUUGUUUUGACAUUGUUGACAUUUCUUUGACUUUUUUUUUACUGUUUUUUACAUUUUUGACUUUUGUUGACUUUUUUUGACCGGUUAAUCCCAUAAAUACCGAUUAAUCCCGUGAAACUAGAUUAAUCCCUAAUUUCUGUAAGACACACUAAUCUUAAUCGGUUGGAGAAUGACAAACGAUUCAUCUACAAUUAAUCAACGAGUACUCCCAAGUUUCUGCAACCAUGCUCGUUAGUAGUAGUUCCCAAUUCUGACCAUGUUUGUAUUUCACUUUAAUACUUAGGUUCACAGCUUUUUAGUGACAAUCUGUUGACUUAGUUGUCCUGGCCUCAUAGGUAAGAUCCUAACCGACUCUCUUCUCACGCAGUAUAUAUAUGAGAGUGAAUUACAUAGAGAGAGUAUCUUUUUCUAAUUAGUUCCUUCGUCAAUGUAUCGAACUAUUUUUCUCUCGAAUGAAUUGAAGAUCUUAUUUACUUUUUAUAUGUAUUUUGAUCUUUUUCCAUUCUCACUUACAUCAUUGUUUAAGAAUCUAUACAUUUCUAACAUAUGUUUAUGUGCGUGAUAUGUGUAUUUACUGUUUAUGGAAUGCUCCGUUUACUUAUAAUACACACACAUUUUGUUUAUUAGUAAGAAACGCAUAAUAGGAGUUCAGUCUUAGUUGGUGAUAGUACCCAAAAUCAACAUGAGAUAUUCUCGAAAUCUAAAAAAAUUAAAUUAGAUGUUGCAUAAUUUACAAUAAAUAAUGGUUUGUUGGUAUCAUUCAAUUUUAGCUUCUUAUAGAGAAUAUAACAUUUUGAUAAUAAAAAUUGUUUACUCGAUUGUUUAUAGUAAAUAAUGGUUUGUUGGUGUCAUUCACUUUUUACCUCCUUGUAGAGACUACAACAUUUAGAUAAUUGUGAUUACAACAAUUUGAUGAUGGGAUUUAGGUAAACAAACCAAAAUAAAACCUUAAGUUUGCAUGCCACCUAAAUAGGAUCUAUGUUUUCUCUAUUAAACCUAACUAAGAACAUCAAAAAGAAACUUGCAACACCCUAGGCUAUUUUCGAAAAUACCUAGAGAAAGGUUUAGGAUUACAUAAAUUUCUUGUAGAUCUCUUAGAAGACAGAACCACAACUGUCGUGCCUUAAUGGAAUCACAUCCAAGCUAGCAAGAGGAUAAUAAGAGAGAGAAGAAAGGAGGAAAGAUUUCAUCCAACUCUUGGGCAGAGAAGGAGUGGCAAAAUCAAGGGGCUAGGAGGCUCCUUAUAUAGUUGAGGAAACUUGGUGCCAAAACUAGGGUUUAGCGGAUAAGCCUUAGAUUCCAUUAUUUGGUGACCAAGUAGCCCAAGCCCCUUGUCCAAGGGGCCUUGGGCAAAAUCUCAUAGGGUUUCCCUAGAGAUUUUCUUCCACCACUUCCAAGAGGUUCUAGAGUCAUUCUUUCUCAACUAUUAACAAAUAACAAAACAAUCCUUGUACUUUUAAUUAAUCAAAUUAAUCAAAAAAUUAAUUCCAAUUAAUUUCUGAUUAAUUAUUAAUUAAAUAAUAUGAUUUCUAAUUAAUAUAUUAUUUUCAUAAUAGAUUAAUAAACAAUUUAAUUUAUUAUUCACCUAAUAAAUUAAUUUAUCUCUUUAAAAUCAACUUGUCUAAUUGCUAGGUUUGAUGGGAACCCAAAAUGACUGUGCUACUAUCAAUUCAAGUAUAUACCAACUAUAGUUAUGGGUGUAGACACCUAAUCCAACAUUUGAUGAUCAAUGUUUUCAAUUAGUGUUAGGUAGCCUUCUAUGAUAUAAAUGUAAGUGGACCUUUUUUUUUUUUUUUUUUUUUUUUUAUGUAAGCUAUUAUAUGAUGUUAUCUAGAAGUAGAAAUAAAAUAAUUCUUUUUUUUUUGAUUGAUUUUGUUCUUUUUCUAAUUUGGUACAAAACAACGAAGAUGAAAGCUAUAUCGAAAAUCAACCAAAAAACGUAGUUGACGUCAUCCAUUUACUCUCGCAACCUAUAACUAUCAUUGGUAUGAAUAUAUAACUUACAAUGUAUCCUUUUUCCUUUAUCUCUCUAUAUUCGUUUCUUUGUAACUUGUGAGAUUUUUAUGGUUAAUUUAGGGGUUGUUUGCUUUUUCUAAAAAAAUCACUUCUGACCACUUUUUGUUGCACCGUACAACACACGCACGUUUGUUUUUCAAAAAACUUUUGACUUAAAAACUGUUGCGCGUGUGUUGCGUGGCGCAACAUUGGACCCUCCUCUUCAAACAUCUUCACACCUUAUUUAAGUUAUAUUAUUCAACAUAAUUUUGAAAUUUUUUCAACAAUUUAUUAUUUUAAUAAUAUUAUGAAGGAUAUUAUCAACAAUUCUAAUACAUUUUACAUAAUUUCAAAAUCGUUUGGUAAAUUUCAUAUAAAUAAUUUGUUUUGUAACAUUGUCUAUGACUAUAUACUAAUAAAUUAUAAAGUUAAUCAUUAAAAUUACCAAAUUUGUUGAAGCUAACCGGAAAAAUAAUCCUCGUCUUCGAAAAAUUAAAAAAAUAAACACGUUUUUUUUUUUUUUUUUUUUUUUUUUUUUUUUUUUUUUUUAUCUAAAUUAACAGUUUUAUUUAUUGUUAUUUAGCAAAUAUUAUGCUUAUUUAUUUUACAGAAACGUUACCAUAAUGAUAUAUGUAUUGAUUUGUAUAUAUAUGAUUAAACUAAAUAAUAUUUGAUUUAGAAUUAUUUUUAACUAUUAUAUGGUUAAUUUCGAUUUAUUGCAACAGCCUGCAGACGCUAAAAAAUAAAUAAACUUUUUAUUACAUGACACAGCCCUUUGAUCCACCUCUUCUGCUAUAUAGGGUUGCAGAGGUAGUCCACAGACUUCACGCAUUUUCACUUCGGAAAAACAAAUAACACCUUAGUUUUGAUCUUUAUAUAUUAUCGGAAAUUUUUUUUAUACUAUACCUGUCAAAAAUUUAUUGUUCCUCCAAUGUCACUAAUAAUACAUAGACUCUUCCUUUUCAAUAUAUUCUAUUUUUCUAAAAGGGGAACGUCGCUCCAAUAUAUUCAAUAUAUAAUUAAAGAAUUUUAAUAUACAAAAACUUGUAAUUUUAUGAAACAAAACUUAUUAUAUAGAUUAUAUAAUUGUAUUUUAAUAUACACCAAAAUAUAGACUAAAACUAUAUCCAAAUCUUUUUUGGUAGCAUGAUUAUGGUUUUCCUUGAUAAAAAUAUAUUAGUCAAACAUAGUAGACUUUACAAAAUUAUUCAUUAUAUAGACAUCUAAAAUAAUACCAAUCACAAUCUUUUACCACAACAUCUUUGACUGAACCUACAAACUCUUCGACACGUAUCAAUAAGUGGGAAGCACAUUCCUGUGUCACCACAACAACAAAAUUUUUUACCAUCUGUCGAUGUUGAACAAUGGUAAUCGCAAGGUGCUUUUGAGAUACCAACAACUUUAAUCUCAUUCAUUUCAAUUUUGCCACCUAUAAAUUCAAAAAGGAAAAACAUAUUAAAAUAUCCAUAAAAAAUAAUGAAAUAAUGUGUAAAAUAAAGAUAAAAAAAACCUUACAUUCAUGAAAAAUAGACAACAUUAGAAAGCUUACACACAAGAUGAUCAUAUAUCUUUCCAGAAGCUUGAUCAUCAUUUCGUUUUCUCUUAUAGUAAAUUAACUUGUUUAAAAUAGAAAGAGAUAUGAAGAUGAUUUAAUAGACAACAAAUGAGACCAAUCUUAUAUUUAUAUGAAUAUUUGGGCUGUUAAGUUAUUGUCUAAUUUAAAAUUUUUAUUAUAGCUAAUUAACUGAUUUAUAUAACUUCAUGGAAUAAGNNNNNNNNNNNNNNNNNNNNNNNNNNNNNNNNNNNNNNNNNNNNNNNNNNNNNNNNNNNNNNNNNNNNNNNNNNNNNNNNNNNNNNNNNNNNNNNNNNNNNNNNNNNNNNNNNNNNNNNNNNNNNNNNNNNNNNNNNNNNNNNNNNNNNNNNNNNNNNNNNNNNNNNNNNNNNNNNNNNNNNNNNNNNNNNNNNNNNNNNNNNNNNNNNNNNNNNNNNNNNNNNNNNNNNNNNNNNNNNNNNNNNNNNNNNNNNNNNNNNNNNNNNNNNNNNNNNNNNNNNNNNNNNNNNNNNNNNNNNNNNNNNNNNNNNNNNNNNNNNNNNNNNNNNNNNNNNNNNNNNNNNNNNNNNNNNNNNNNNNNNNNNNNNNNNNNNNNNNNNNNNNNNNNNNNNNNNNNNNNNNNNNNNNNNNNNNNNNNNNNNNNNNNNNNNNNNNNNNNNNNNNNNNNNNNNNNNNNNNNNNNNNNNNNNNNNNNNNNNNNNNNNNNNNNNNNNNNNNNNNNNNNNNNNNNNNNNNNNNNNNNNNNNNNNNNNNNNUAUAUAUAUAUAUAUAUAUAUAUAUAUGUUUCAAGUAUGUAACUAUAGAAUGAAAAUGUACAAUGAUGUGUAUUGGUAUACAACAUUCAUGCUAGAUACAUGGAAAUGUGGUAUUUUGUAUUUCUCUAUUCUUUAAAAAAUUAGUGUUUGACAAAACUAGCUGGUAGCUGGUAGUAGGUAGCUUGUAGUUUAUAGCUGGUAACAUUUGUUUAAACGCUACAUAAAGUAGCAUAUGGAUUUGGUGCAAUUUCUUUAAACUAAAUUCUAGAAACUUGUAGUGUUAGACGAGACUUUCUAUUCAAAGCGGAGCAUUUUGUUAAACGUUAGAAUCUUUCAAAAACUUCAAAAUCUUCUGUACCGAACACACCCUUAAUAGGAAAAAAUAUAUUAUAAUCUCUCUCAUCCAAAUAUACAAUCUAGAAACUUGUAAUGUUAAAAGAGACUUUCUAUUCAAAACGGAGCGCUUUGUUAAACGUUAGAAUCUCUCAAACACUUCCAAACGUUCUGUGCCGAACACGCCGUUAAUAGAAAAUAAAAUAUUACACUCUCUCUCGUCCAAAAUAUAUAGAUAUAUAAAUGUUUCAAGUAUGUAACUAUAGAUUGAAAACAUACAAUGACGUGUAUGUGUGUACAACAUACAUGCUAGAUACAUGGAAAUGUGGUAUUUGGUAGUUCUAUCUUUUUCUUCAAAGACUUAGUGUUCGACAAAACUACAUGGUAGUGGGUAGCGGGUAGCAGAUAGCUUGUAGUUUAUAGUUGGUAGCUUUUUGUUAAACGCUACGUGAAGUACCAUUUGGUUUUGGAGGAUUUUGUUUAAACUAAAUGCUAGAAACUAGUAGUGUCAAACAGAGUGUUUAUGUAAACGUUAGAAUCUCUCGAACACUUCUAAACUUUCUGUGUUGAACACGUCGUUAAUAGAAAAAAUAUUACACACUCUCUCUCUCUACUAAAUAUACAACGUAAAUUAACCAAAUUGAACAUUCUAUUAUAAAUAUUAUUAUUUAUAGCAAGGUACUGUUAUUUUUACGAUUAUGAAAAAUAUAUAGAAAUAUGAAAAUUUAUAUCAAUACGGGUCUUUAUUUGUACCGAUAAGAUAUGUCAAUGCAGGUCUAACUUAUUGAUGAACAUGGAUUAUCAAUUCAUAUUAAUUAAGUAUGCUUUUUUUUUUAAUUGGAUAUUGGAUGAGAAAUUAUGUGACAGUAGAUGAUAGAAUAUGCAAUGUUCACUACGUCAAACUUCCAUGUACCUAGGGCUCUUUAGUAUUUGGAUAAAACUAAAUUGUCCAAUUGGAUAAUUUGUAUUGGACUAUUUGAUGUGGAUAUUUGGACUUUUGAAUUAUUAUUCAACAAAACCGAAUUAUUAUUUUGGAUUUCAAUUUGGUCUUGAUUUGUAAAAUAAGAACCAAAUAGUCCAAAAAACAGAAUAAUAUUCCUUCUUAGUAGUUUUUUUUUUUCUUUCAAAAGUUUUUAUCUAUAAAAUAUUAAACUAUAAUAUUCCUUCUUAGUAGUUGUUUUUAAAUUUUAAAUCACAAUCAAAUAAUUUGUUUUUGCUUCUUGUGUAAAGUUGAGUAAUAUUAUAAUUUUAUUCCAUUUUAAAAUGUUUCGAUUUUUGACAACCGAAUUAUAGAAACGAUCAAACCGAAUUGUAAUUGGAUCGGAUCCGAUCAAAUUUGAAUUUAUUUUGGACUACUUAGAUAAAUGUUUUGAAAACCGAAAUCUAUUUGAAUUCACUUGAUUGGAUUAGAUCAAACCGAUUCAUCUAAACGAACACUCCUACACGUAGCUCAAUAACAAAUUUAGAUACAUAAAUAUUGAAGUAUGUACCCCAAUAACAAAUUUUGAUACAUAAAUAUUGAAGUAAAGACUAUACAUAGAAUGUAUUCGGGUUUAAAAAUUAUAGUAAAAAAUCAUUGCAAAUGAUGGUAUUUUAUAAACUAAAAUUAACAAAGAAUCUUGAUAGUUGAUUUUAAUCUCAAAUAAUUUGAAGAAAAAAAAUAGUUGCAUUAUUUUUUUAACGAAACAAUGUAUUUUAAAGUUUUUAUUGUUUCAUAUUUAAUUUUAGGCUUAUAAAACACUAUUUUGAUACUUCAAGUAUAUUUGUACAUUAUAAAGUACUUAAUACUUAAUAUAUUGGUAAUGGUAUAAUUAUAUCUUUAGAAUCCAUUUUUUAUACUAUGUGUAAUUUUAUUUUGUAUUAAUGAGUAAUUUUAUAUAAAUAAUUGAAAAAUAAAAAAGAAAAACCAUUAUACUUUUUAUAAUAUGUAACAGAAAGAAUAAAAAAUGGCGUUGAAGAGAUGAAAACCCCUGAAAACGUCUUUUACAAGUGAAUUUGACAUACAAAGUUUCCUUAAACACAUCAUUUUCAUGAUUUAUAAGAAAGUUUCACAUGAAAUUGAGUUAGUCAUCUGGAGUAUCCCACUAAACAUAUUUUCUCUAGCAUCAACUACAAUAAUUAAAUCUAAGUGUUAAACCUAGCAACAAUUUUCCUUUUUAAUUGGGAUUCAUAAUUAUAAAAUGGUAUAGAAAAUCCUUUAUUUGACUUGGGGAAUAUUUUAGAGAAAACACAAGUUACAUUUGAUAUAUAAUUUCUUUUGAGAAUCAUAUAUAAACCGAUUUUUAACUAUUAUUUUUUUGGGUGUAUCUCUUUCGAUCCAUAUAACUCCAUGGCUUUUCAUUACACUUCUCGCCACAUAACGAGGUCCUACCUUGCAUUUGUGGAACAUGAACACUUCAUAGUCAAGUAAGAUCUUCAAAAAUGAAACCCACUUUUCCACCAAGUGACCUAGCUAAUUCUGUCACAUCUACCACCGCUCUGCCACGGCCACCUCAUUCUCUACCAACCACCAUAAUCCUAAAUGAUUAAUCACUUUGUGAACGUGCAUAUAUGUAUAAUCAUUUAUAAGUAGGUAUAUAUGUAUAAACAAGAAUAGUCAUAUAUGAUUAUAAAUCUGCAUCUUAUAAUCAUUUAUGAUUAGGCAUAUCCCGUCGCCCCGGUAUGCUCGAACGUUAGAGCAGAAAAUGAGAAAUAUGUAGGUGAAGUUGAAUCUCAAGAUCUUUAUUUUGUUUUCAGAUUCUCAAUGAAACCAUCAUCGUUCCCAACCUUAUCACGUUCUCACUAUAACAUCUCUCUCUCUCUCUCUCUAUAUAUAUAUAUAUAUAUAGAGAGAGAGAGAGAGAGAGAGAUGUUAUAUUGAGAACAUGAUAAGGUUGGGAAUGUAGGAAUGAUUGUAGACCAAUCGUUAAUUAAUGACAUACCAUGAAAUUUGUUAGAACAAGUAGGGUUUGUGCUAGAGAUCUGGAUACCAACUUGGAUUGUGUGAACACUUUCUAAACUGAUAUUUCUACCCUAUGCCUGGGUUAUAAGAAAUUCAGUCUAGGAUAAUCCAAGAGGACACUUACUAUUAGGGAUGAAAGUGGGUGCAAACCCAGACCGGAUGGACCCGGACCUGAAAAACCCGGAACCGGUUAACGAGAUUUUAUAGAACCAGAAACUGGACCCAUAUAUAGGAACUGGUUCCGGGUACGGUACCGGGUAAAGUGGGUCUAGAACCGGAAAACCCGGAAACAUCAAAAUGGGUAGGUUAGAACCAGAUAAAGUGGGUUUAGUACCCGAAAACCCGGAAAAACCAGAAUUUUUUGGUAAUUACUUACUACUUAUUGGGUUGAACUUUGAAAUUUUUCAUAUUGAUAUCCCGACUUUGCGGGACUAUAACUCAUUGAAUAUGAAACCAAAAUUGACAAAUUAUAGUCUAAAAUCAUGUACAAACUCUAAACUACACUCUGGAAAAACCACAUGUCAAUCCGACUUUAAACGAAUGAGAUAUGCAUGUGUUAACAUUUUCACAGAAUAUAAACUACAAAAACAAAUAGCUGAAAAGUUGAAACUUUUCAGUUUUGAUAUCCCGACUUCAGGGGGACUGUAAAUCAUUGAAUAUCAAUCCAAAAUUGACAAAAUCAUAGUCUAAACUCAUGUAGAAACUCUAAACUACAAGUUAGAAAAAAACCACAUGUUAAUCCGACUUCAAACGAAUUAGAUAUGCAUGUUUUAAAACUUUCACAGAAUAAAAAAAAACUAAAAAAUUAAAAACUUUCAUCCUUGAUAUCUCGACUUUGGCGGACUGUAUGUCAAUGAAUAUAAAACUAAAAAUGAAAAAUUUAUAUUCUAAAAUCAUGUACAAACUCUAAACUACACGUUGGAAAAAACCGCAUGUCAAUCGGAGUUGAAACGAAUGAGAUAUGCAUCUUUUAAACGUUUCCUAAAAACCGGUUCCGGCCCUAAAAGUGGUUCUGGUUCCUAACACCAGUUCCGUUUUUUUGACCCGGUUUACCCGGACUCGAUGGACCCAAACCCAGAUGCCCGGAACCCGGAUAAAGCCAAUUUUUAAACUCGGAACCGUUAGAACUGGUUCUAUACAGUUCCGGUUCCGGUCCGGUUUUUUGGUUCUAAAUCUCAUCCCUACUUACGAUUCUAGGCACAGAAAUCGUAAGCCAAAUUGCCAGAAAGAUUUUGUGAGUGUUUGAAGAAAAACGAGAGCUAUUUUUCGUCUGUGUCUUCCAAAAGGAAGAGCCGUUUCUAUAUAAUAAAUGAGAUUAAUGUUUCAAUAGGGUUGGGCCGUUAUGAGUUCCUUUGGAAGCAAGUCAGUAGGACCUCAGUUUGGGGCUCUGCCCCUUGGACCUCGCUAGGGGCGCUGCCACUAGACACCGCUAAAGGGGAGUCGCCCCUUUGGAAAACCCCGGACCUAGGGGCGCUGCCCCCGAACCUCCGACUUGUCGUCGAACUGACUUUUAAUUCAAUCUUAUACAUGUGUGCACUCUGCACAAACCUCGUACAUAUAUUAGAGUACAAAUUAUGAAGCCCCUUAGCUCACAUGUUAGUUCUAGUAACAUAAAAUGACAUGGUGACACUAAAAUCACCAACAAAAUUUACAAUAUAAUUUAAUAUGAAUAGGUUAUAUGUAAUUAAUGUAUUCACACACACACACACAAACUCAUNNNNNNNNNNNNNNNNNNNNNNNNNNNNNNNNNNNNNNNNNNNNNNNNNUAUAUAUAUAUAUAUAUAUAUAUAUAACAAAUGGAUAAACUAUAUUUUCCACUCCUCACAAAGAUGAUGAUGCGCUUGUUUUUUCAUCAAUUUAGCAACCUGGACAUGUAACAAUAAAGAAUAGAGUUCGACAUAUUAACUUCUUUGAUAAAAUUAAGAUAUAAACAUCAAAAGAACAGAAAUACAAGUAUUUCAUGAGAUACACAUAAACAGCUUGAUAAGUUGUGAAGUUCAAGAAACUAUAGACAUAUUUCUUGAGGACCGGGUAAUAUUUCAGUUUUGUUAUGAAAUAAUUAAUGGUUAUAACUAAAUUACCUUAAAAUUUCAGAAAUAUUACUAUACGUAAUUCUAAAUUUGUAUGUAAUUUUAUAAUUAUAACUAAUAUCACAUUGUAAAAUACACUCAUAUACAAACUUUAAAAAAUAAUAAUAAUACAAAUGGAAAGAGUUAGAUAACAUGAACCACAAAAAUUUUGUAUCUAAUUAUGAAGUUAGUAUAUGAAACUUUCGUAGGAGAACUAAUGUAGCUUUUAUUUGGCAAGUAUCUAACUGAGGGUAAUGAUUAAUAACGCAUGAAUAGUUAAUUUACAUUAAUCCCAAAAAGAUUAGAAAUGAUUCAACCACCGACAUGUUAUAAUAACAAAAAUGAAUGUGAUACUUUCAACCUGAACCAUGUGCGAUGAAGGUGUGCGAUGCUUCAUUGCUACUAUCUACUACUUUUUUAUUUCAAUCUAUGAUUUUCUAGGAUUUUAUGAGAUGGAUAGACCAGAGAGGGAUAAGAAAUAUAUCAUAAUCGAAGUAGGGAAAAAGAAUGACAUACCUACUUGAACUUGUUACGGGACACAUAUGAAUUCAAAAAAAUAUAACUGUAAAAUAUAAUUCAUAAUUCAUUUUAAAACAAAAAAGAAAAUUGAUUUCAAGAAAGUAAAAAAUUCAAUAUUUAACACAAGGCAAUACAAACCUACAAAUCUAUCUAUCAAAAAAUUGUUAGACUAAUUAGCAAUGUAUUAAAAAAAACUAAACAAAUAAUGUGGUUAGAGAUAUUUUGUUUUCUCAAAACAUAUUGAUUUGAAACCUAAAUAACCUUUUAUAUUCCUUAAUUAAUAACAUUUAUAAUAAUUACCAAUUUCUAGUAAGUGUUUUCAUUAUUUCAUUAUAUAUGUAGCUAUAUUAGUACACUUUUUCUUAUAAAUAAUCGUCAUGUUGUUAAAUGUAUUGUGAUUCAAAAAACUUCCAUGUAGUCCAAACGUUUAAGAUUCAAAUAUUAAUAGUAUUUCUCACAUCAAGCUUUCGUGUAGUUCAAACAUUUACGAUCCAAAUAUGAAGAGUUAGAGAAAUGGGUUAUUUUUCAUCAAUGGUAAUUGUAAUAUAAUUAGUUUCCUUCAACCAACACAAAUGAAACUUUUCUAUUCUUUCUUUAUAUUCAGUUUCUCAUUUGAUCUUUAUAUGUGUAUUACUCAAUCUUGAAUGUGAUUCUUUAAAUAUCAAUGUUUUUCUUGGAACAUUUUUAUAAUUCGUCUUUGUAUAGAAAAACAUUUUGAUUACACAUUAGUAAAGAAUUAUCAUUAAAUUUCUAUAGUUAAAUGGUGUCAAAAGAAGAAAGAAGAGUCACAAAACGGAUAUAGAUUAUCAUCAAGUUUCUAUUUAUGUAAUAUUUUUAUUUAUAUAUUCAACCGUCCAUAUUUCUUAUUUAUUUUAUUAUAGAUUUUUUAUUUUUAUUAUGUUUAGUUUCUUUUUUGGUUAGAUUAUCCUUAACAACAUAUUUAAAAGAUUACAUCAUUUUUACCAUUAGAUAUGUAAUUAUGAUUGAGUUAUCAUGAUAUUUUUUUCAUAUGAAAGUAUUUUUUCCAUCUUACAAUGACAAUAAUUACAUAUUAUAUUUAAUGAAAUAUAUAUUAUACAUGAUUUGUUUAACGUCCACCUAUGUAUGUUAUAAAAUUAAAAUUAAAUAUAUUUAUGUUUAUAAAUUGAAGGGAUUAAAAUGCAUCAAAACUAAUUAUUUAAAUGAGAAAUAUUAUUUAUAGUAAUAAUAAUAAUAAUAAUAAUAAUAAUAAUAAUAAUAAUAAUAAUAANUUUAUUACUUACAACUCAAAAGUUUUUUUAGCUUAUGAUUAUUAAUUAGUAACAACUAAUAGCUUUUUAUUUUCCUUUUAUUUAAAAUGUUGUCAAAAUUUUUCUCAUUAAAAAUAUUUAUGUGUUCGAAGAGAUUUGUUAUUCAAAUAUUAAGACUAAUACAAAUUUUAUAAUAGAUGUUUUAGUACUUUUAUUUUAUUGAAAGUUGUAGUGUUUAUUUUUCAUACUUUUUUUUAUUCAUUGUAUAUAGAUUUUUUUGAAUACAAAUAUUAUAAUAUAUGUUUUAGUAUUUUUAUGUUACUAAAAGUUUUAUUGCUUAUUUUUUUUCAUAUAUUUUUUUACUCGUUAUAUAUAGAUCAUCAUACGUUUGAUAUAUAAUUUACACAAUUUUAAAUGGUUGAGAAAAUUAUCAAAUAAUGGUAUAAGUCACAAGGACUUAAAAUUUUAAACCUAUAAUGUUUAAUAAAACUAAUAUGUUAACUAUAACUAUAAGUUUGCUUUACUGCUAACAUUGAGUUUCAAAGUAGAAAUAUUAAAUAAUAAUUCGGUAAAAAUAUAUUAUUUUAACUAUUUAAAUGUAUAAGUAAACAAAAAGAGUUUAAUAUUCCUUUACUACCUAUUUUUUCCAUUUAGAAAAUUAUAAUUUUCAACCCAUGGUUUUUAAAAUGUACAUAAAUAGUCAAUAUAUAUCUGCCUUAGAUCUUAAUAUUUGAAGUGCUCAUAGUUUUUCUNNNNNNNNNNNNNNNNNNNNNNNNNNNNNNNNNNNNNNNNNNNNNNNNNNNNNNNNNNNNNNNNNNNNNNNNNNNNNNNNNNNNNNNNNNNNNNNNNNNNNNNNNGAGAACUCGAGAACUAAAGGUGGAGCAUGAUCAUAAUCUUACCAAUCUCAUUUAAUGUUUUUUUUGUUAAUAAAAAGAUCUAAAAACUAACAUAAUAAAUUAAAUUAUCAGAUUUUUUAAUAAAAAAUAAGAAUUGUCGAUUUUUCAAAAUGAUGGAGAUUUUUUUAAUUUUUUUCGAAAACAUGAAAUUUUUAAAAAAUUGAAAAAAAAACAUUUCUUUAAAAAACUGCAAUUUUUCUAAAAACAUUAAAUUUUUAAGAAUCAAUAAAUUUUAAAAAACAUCUGGAAUAUUUAAAAGAACUAUAAUAUUUUAACCAAAAAAAUUAACGUUUUAGGUACAUAUAUGCAUAUUUUUUCUAUUGCAUAUUCUUUUACUAUAUUAUUCGUAAGUAAUUAUAAAAAACUCAUUUUUAGUUACUAAUCUAUUAAUACAAAAGUACAAGUAUUUUAUUUGACAAGAAAUAAAAUAUAAAAAGCAAAAAAUGUUACAAAAUUUCAAAGCGUUUUUAUUUCUUUGUGUCAAGAUUUCCAUAUUUUUCUUCAAUUUAUCACUUUUCACAUCUUUGAUAUUUUUCACAAAUUCUUUCAAAUCUACAUUAAAAUUUUAAAAAAAUUGAUUAAUACAAGAACACGAACAAAAAUGGAUAUUUAUAUAUUAUGUAAGAGUCACAUGCGAUUAAAUCAUAUAAGAUUCAAAUGUGAUUAUGUAAUAUGAUAUUCACAUGUGAUUGCAUCUUGUAAGAUUGAAAUGUGAAAUUCACAAGAAAAUUUAAAAAAGCAAUUAAAAAAGAACACACACAAAAUUCAUUUAUGCAUAUAGACGUAAUUCAUAUGUGAUUCACUUGUGAAUUAUAUGUGAAUCACAUGUAAUUCAUAAAUGAUUCACUUGUGAUUUAAAGGUAAAUUACAUGUGAUUCAUAUGUGAAUUACAUGUGAAUCACAUGUAAUUUAUAUGUGAAUUACAUUCGAUUCACAUGUAAAAUACAUAUAAUUUAUAUGUGAAUCACAUGUGAUUCAUAUGUGAAUUACAUAUGAAUCACAUGUGAUUUACAUGCGAAUCACAUAUGAUUUAUAUAUGAAUCACAUGUUCAAACUUACGCGAAAAGUCUGAAAAUUAACUGACUGUUAUAACUUCUGUUGAAGUGAUAUAGUUUGUACAGAAUGGAAAUUUCGGAUUCUCACAAAUGCUCAUCUUGGUAUCUCUCCUAGAUUACUCUUCUACUCAAAUCCCUCUCUAAAAAGGAUUCCUGCUGGAUACUCUCACUCCGCACAUACUCAAAAGCAAAUCACAAAUAGCAGUAAUUCCUAGGCUAAGGCAUCACAAAUCAGGCCACUCUAGUCCUAAAUUAUGAAAUACCUAGCCUAUCUCUAGCUUGCAUGAUAUCUCAUAAAAUAUCACAUAAGUAUCUCUUAACACAAAAGUAAGGGUAUUUUUAGGAAAUCACCGUUCGGGCUCUGGUUGAUUGUACACACUGCUCUUUCUCGUUUUUCUCUUAGAAACUCUUGCUCGUUAUAGAAAAUCGUUUCUUUUGAAGAUUUUCCUCAAAUCCUUAGUUUGAGUCCAGAUUUAGCCAAAGGUGCAUCUGAAUCCCUCAAACUAAGGCUCUGAUACCAACUUGUAACACCGUAAAUUUCCAAACAAAUUUUUUAUUUUAAAUUCAUAUAAUACUCAUAACGCAUUUCACAAAAUCUCAUUUAUUAAAUUUACAAAACGCGUCUCCAUAAUUGUUUGUUUAAUAAUCCAGGAUCCUCAGAACAUAACCCUUUCUCUAGUGUGUACAAUCGAGCCGGUGCCUUCCCACGAUCCUAAGAAAACCUGAAACACAUAACACAUAACAUGAUAAGCACGAAGCUUAGUGAGUUCCCCAAAAUACCACACACAUCUUAGUAGCCUCUCAUGGCUAUACUCAGAUAAGACCCUCUGGUCAAUGUAUCUCAGCGGGACCCUCCAGUCUCGUAGCUCGUUGGAACCUCUGGUCUGGUCUAGCUCGUUGGACCCUCUGGUCCGGUCUAAAUCGUUGGACCCUCUGGUCCGGUCUAUAUAAUACAUUCCAUACAUAUAACACAAUGCACAUAAAUCUCAAACAUACACAUAAACAUAAGACCCUCCGGUGUGCAGAUAGAUACCAUUCUUGGUAAUGUAUAGUGAGAAGACUCACAUCGGGUAAUCUCGGAAAGUCUCGAACUUGAAAUACUAAUCUAGCCUCCGCCUAAUCACAUAAAGUAAUUUACCUCUAUUUAACAACGAUUCUCAAAGGCUAUACUAAUCCUUCCUAUAAUCUUUCAGAAGGGGAAAAGACCAUUUUACCCCUCCAAUGGUCCAAAUGUCUAAUUGUUGACCAAACCCUAAAAGUCAACGAAAGUCAACAGAGGGCGGUACGUGGGGCGUACCAACACUGUAUGCGGAGCGUACCCUGGCUAUCCAGAAUCGGGGAUCUCAACCCCUACGCGGCGCAUUCUGAGAUUUACGCCCAACGUAAGUCUUAGUUUCAUGCUCUUAAUAUUUUUGGUCUGAAUCGAUUAAGAUACAAGCUCAUAUUCCAGAUCUAGUCCUUCUAAUGCCUCUUAACCCUCUCUCCUCAUUAAGUCCUUAACUCAUGGAUGACUCAAUACUAACGAUCAAGAUUGGAUUUUUAUGGAUCUACAACACAUUUUAUACUGAAAUGGGUCAGAUCAAGGCUUAUGGAGACCAUUUACUCAUAAAGUCUCCAUCUUGGGACAAAAACCCUAAAAAUUGGUCCAUAAUGCACAAAUCCAAAAUGAUGAAGAAAUCUUUGAGAUUUUUACCUCCAAGUGGUGCCCCAACCUCUGUAAAGUUCAGAUCCAAAGCUUGCACUCCAACUCUAGCUUCCACAAUGGCCCUCUCUUCUUCUUCACAAGCACACAAUGCUACUUUCAAGCUCUUAACACACACAAGCUUAGAAUGAAGGUUUGGCUCUCUUAGGGUUUCACUCUCUGUAAAAUGGUGGCUGGGAUGGGGGCUAUAGUAUUCCUUUUAUAGUGCUCUUGUUUCAUUUAGGGUUUUGAAUCUGGGCCAAUUACGCCCAGCGUAAGCUAAGGUACGCCCAACAUACCUGGGUAGAGUUUGUGUCAAAGGCACGCCCAGCGUACCCACUCGUCACCAUUUUCUAUUUUAGGCUAAUUUUGACAACUUGGAAAAGAAGAAGGAUUAAAGAAAUAUACCUAAAUUUCAGGAUGUUACAAAAGUAGCUUAACAACACAUUCUUUUGAAAAACAUGUGCGAAUAAAACACAAGUUAGGAAGGGGAUGGGGGCGAAAGAAAGUUAGAAACUACAACAUACUACCUCUAUUCUAGGUUAAAAUAUGAUACAUUUUGUGAAAUCGAACACCAACUUUCCCUUUGGUAUCUUUCGAUUAAAAAAUUAAAAGUAGAAAUGAAGUUACCAAUAGAUUGAUAUGAGAAUUGUGCUAGUUUUUAGAACCCAAACCUGAACAUAACCAUUAGUUUCUAAAAUAAAGGUUUUCAAAUCUUUUCUUUACAAUAUCACAUACACCGAACUAUAUCAUCAGAAAACCAUACCAUAAAUACUUUUUUUUUGUACAGAUAAAUACUAACUAGUAUUUUAUUAAAUGCAUAAACGACCAUAAUAAAAACUCAUACAAAUUAAUAAAAAUGAAAUGAAAUACCAUGAUAACAAGCCAGAAGAAAUAUUACCAACAACAACCAAUAUGUAAUUGUCUUUAUACCUUUUGAAAAACAGAGCUAUCGUGUCCAUAAAUUCUAUCGGAUUAAGAAAAAACGUUUUCAUAUCUUAGAACAAAAUCCUUACACACAUAAACCUCAUUAAGUCUUCAAUUCACAACGAUCAUGUGUAGUAUAUGUCACACCC